rnacentral:lncRNA from 1 species
UCUUAGGAGACAGAGCACCAGUGAGUGAGUGAUUGGAUUGUAUUUAAUAAGCAAAAAAGUACAUGUAUGCAAUGCACCCUGCAAGGCCAUAAGAUCUACAUGUGCAUGGCAUUGCAGGUUGUGCUGAGCGUAUGCACAUGCAUGUGUGUGGCCACCAGCCCACUUCACCCAAAGCUCUAGAAAAUGAUUUCCAUUUAACCAAGAAGACUUGCUUUCUCAUAUGCAGUGUGGGACUAAAAAGAAAAAAUUUAAAGUCUUUGAAACAAUUAAGAAAUAGGGGAUUGCUUUCUAUUUUUAAAAUUUAAAAUAUUUUCAUAUAUUAAAAUUCUAGCAUUAUUAGAUUUAGAUGUUUGCACGUCGAUCCUCCACGACGGACAAAAGGAACAAAUGAAGUUUAUAUGUGAGUCUAAGCCCUUUAAGUGAGAUGCUAAUCAAGAACAACACAUAAUAUGACCACAUAGAAGCUCAUAACUUGAAUUGAAGAACUAGUCUCCAUGAAAAAUAGGUGAUUUCAAUUCCUAUUUAACAACUUUUAGUACAACUAUGUUAUGAAAGACUGCUUCCACUUACAUUGCUAUUUUUUCGUUCGAACAACUUGGAAGGAAAAUAUUGGAUCUCAUUUGUUACUUAUAUUGUUCUUUUCCCACACCAUUUAUUACUUGAAGAGUUCGGAUCUCAUUACCUCUAGGUAAUGUUGCUACUCUUCUAUUGGCUCUAGAGCAUUGUAAUUGUUAUAAUGGAAUUGUAAUCUAUCUAUUUGACUUCUUCUUUUUUGAUCCUUCGACCAAAUUUUUCUAUGUUGAAUUAAGUUUUAUUUAUCUAUAGAGUGAAUGGAGAGCUUUACACAAGCAAAACCUCUACUUUAGUAUACAUAAUAUAUAUAAUAUACGGCUUUACUGUUGCUUGAUGCUCCUCCACGACAUCUCCCUUGCAGCCUCCUCUAACUCCACCACCAUUACAUCUAUCAUCCACUC